rnacentral:misc_RNA from 1 species
UCUCCGUUGGUGAACCAGCGGAGGGAUCAUUACCGAGUGCAAACUCAUAACCCUUUGUGAACCUAUAUCUGUCGCUUCGGCGGCUCGCUCUCGGGCGAGCCCGCCGGUAAUAUCAGUAUCUCUGUUUGAACCCGACGAUACUUCUGAGUGUUCUUAGCGAACAGUUAAAACUUUUAACAACGGAUCUCUUGGCUCUA